rnacentral:rRNA from 1 species
GACGUAGGAUGCAAGCGUUGUCCGGAAUCAUUGGGCGUAAAGAGCGUGUAGGCGGUUCGGUAAGUCGGCUGUGAAAGUCCAGGGCUCAACCCUGGGAUGCCGGUCGAUACUGCCGGACUAGAGUUCGGAAGAGGCGAGUGGAAUUCCCGGUGUAGCGGUGAAAUGCGCAGAUAUCGGGAGGAACACCUAUGGCGAAGGCAGCUCGCUGGGACGUUACUGACGCUGAGACGCGAAAGCGUGGGGAGCAAACAGG